GAAAACUCCGGUGGUACAGGAUGGUCCCGCGUCUGAUUAGCUUGUUGGCGGGGUAACGGCCCACCAAGGCAACGAUCAGUAGCCGGCUUGAGAGAGCGGACGGCCACAUUGGGACUGAGACACGGCCCAGACUCCUGCGGGAGGCAGCAGUGGGGAAUAUUGCACAAUGGGGGGAACCCUGAUGCAGCAAUGCCGCGUGGGUGAAGAAGUACUCCGGUAUGUAAAGCCCUGUCAGCAGGGAAGAAAAUGACGGUACCUGACUAAGAAGCCCCGGCUAACUACGUGCCAGCAGCCGCGGUAAUACGUAGGGGGCGAGCGUUAUCCGGAUUUACUGGGUGUAAAGGGAGCGCAGGCGGCGUGGCAAGUCAGAUGUGAAAACCCGGGGCCCAACCCCGGGACUGCAUUUGAAACUGCCAUGCUGGAGUGCCGGAGAGGUAAGUGGAAUUCCUAGUGUAGCGGUGAAAUGCGUAGAUAUUAGGAGGAACACCAGUGGCGAAGGCGGCUUACUGGACGGUAACUGACGCUGAGGCUCGAAAGCGUGGGGAGCAAACAGGAUUAGAUACCCUGGUAGUCCACGCCGUAAACGGUGAAUACCAGGUGUCGGGGCACAUAAGU
rnacentral:rRNA from 1 species